GACGAACGCUGGCGGCGUGCUUAACACAUGCAAGUCGAACGGAAAGGCCCUGCUUUUGUGGGGUGCUCGAGUGGCGAACGGGUGAGUAACACGUGAGUAACCUGCCCUUGACUUUGGGAUAACUUCAGGAAACUGGGGCUAAUACCGGAUAGGAGCUCCUGCUGCAUGGUGGGGGUUGGAAAGUUUCGGCGGUUGGGGAUGGACUCGCGGCUUAUCAGCUUGUUGGUGGGGUAGUGGCUUACCAAGGCUUUGACGGGUAGCCGGCCUGAGAGGGUGACCGGCCACAUUGGGACUGAGAUACGGCCCAGACUCCUACGGGAGGCAGCAAUGGGGAAUAUUGCACAAUGGGCGGAAGCCUGAUGCAGCAACGCCGCGUGCGGGAUGACGGCCUUCGGGUUGUAAACCGCUUUCGCCUGUGACGAAGCGUGAGUGACGGUAAUGGGUAAAGAAGCACCGGCUAACUACGUG
rnacentral:rRNA from 1 species